GACGAACGCUGGCGGCGUGCUUAACACAUGCAAGUCGAACGGAAAGGCCCUGCUUUUGUGGGGUGCAUGAGUGGCGAACGGGUGAGUAACACGUGAGUAACCUCUCCUUGACUUUGGGAUAACUUCAGGAAACUGGGGAUAAUACCGCAUAGGAGCUCUUGCUGCAUGGUGGGGGUUGGAAAGUUUCGGCGGUUGGGGAUGGACUCGCGGCUUAUCAGCUUGUUGGUGGGGUAGUGGCUUACCAAGGCUUUGACGGGUAGCCGGCCUGAGCGGGUGACCGGCCACAUAGGGACUGAGGUGCGGCCCAGACUCCUACGGGAGGCAGCAGUGGGGAAUAUUGCACGAUGGGCGGAGGCCUGAUGCAGCAACGCCGCGUGCGGGAUGACGGCCUUCGGGUUGUAGACCGCUUUCGCCUGUGACGAAGCGUAAGUGACGGUAAUGGGUAAAGAAGCACCGGCUAACUACGUG
rnacentral:rRNA from 1 species